AACGAACGCUGGCGGCGCGCCUAAUACAUGCAAGUCGAGCGAGAAGACGUAGCAAUACGUUUGUAAAGCGGCGAACGGGUGAGGAAUACAUGGGUAACCUACCCUCGAGUGGGGAAUAACUAGCCGAAAGGUUAGCUAAUACCGCGUACGCUCCUUGGACUUCGGUUCAGGGAGGAAAGCGAUACCGUGGGUAUCGCGCUCUUGGAUGGGCUCAUGUCCUAUCAGCUUGUUGGUGAGGAACGGCUCACCAAGGCUUCGACGGGUAGCUGGUCUGAGAGGACAAUCAGCCACACUGGCACUGCGACACGGGCCAGACUCCUACGGGAGGCAGCAGUAAGGAAUAUUGCGCAAUGGGCGAAAGCCUGACGCAGCGACGCCGCGUGGGGGAUGAAGGUCUUCGG
rnacentral:rRNA from 1 species